rnacentral:rRNA from 1 species
AUUGAACGCUGGCAGCAUGCCUUACACAUGCAAGUCGAACGGCAGCACGGGUGCUUGCACCUGGUGGCGAGUGGCGAACGGGUGAGUAAUACAUCGGAACAUGUCCUGUAGUGGGGAUAGCCCGGCGAAAGCCGGAUUAAUACCGCAUACGAUCUACGGAUGAAAGCGGGGGACCUUCGGGCCUCGCGCUAUAGGGUUGGCCGAUGGCUGAUUAGCUGGUUGGUGGGGUAAAGGCCUACCAAGGCGACGAUCAGUAGCUGGUCUGAGAGGACGACCAGCCACACUGGGACUGAGACACGGCCCAGACUCCUACGGGAGGCAGCAGUGGGGAAUUUUGGACAAUGGGCGAAAGCCUGAUCCAGCAAUGCCGCGUGUGUGAAAAAGGCCUUCGGGUUGUAAAGCACUUUUGUCCGGAAA